AGCAGACGACUGCCACUUCUGCUACAUGCUGCCGUAUUAUCCCGUUUCAUGUUUUCGGACAAGCAUUUACGUUAUCUUUGUGCUGUCAAGGUGGGCGGGUGGUAACAACUUCGACCAGGGCCUGUAAAUUUAGUUGGCCUCAUCUGUUUCCAUGAAGAUUUGACUUUUAUGGAAGUUUGAGGGGUUUUCCUCUAGUUAGUAUUCAUAGUGAUUCAGAGUUACUAUGUGCAUUUUCAACCAAAAUAAGAUAUUCUUUCUGAUUCUUCCUUCCUACUACUUUUAGUGUUCGACGGAAUAGUAAGGAAAUAUGAAAAUAAUUAAAGGAGCAGCAUAUGGGGCAUCAAUUUGCAGUCUUUAAUUUGAGCAACAAACGAAGGUAACAAACACUGGGCAACAAGGUAAAAUUUUCAGUUUAGCUUCACAAACAUAAGACACAGUAUUAUAACUAAGAAACUUUCAUAAAUAAGGAAAGAAUUUAAACACGAUUAAGAAAGAAAUUUCAUGAAAUUUCCAUCCAAAUUAUACAUUGACAUGAUUAGAAUUAAGAAGCUUUCAUAAACAAGGAGAGAAUUGAAAUAAGAUUCAGAAGAGACAGAGCUCAUAAUCAUGAAAUUUCCGUACAAAUUAUACAUUAACAUAACAAUAAAAAUUAAAUACAAAAAGAAAACGAGUAGAAUAUAAGUGACUUACAUUGAAUUAACAAAACUACAGGAUUACAUUGCAAAUAAAAUGACAUCAAUGAUAAACAAAUAAAAUACCAUUCAUGAGGUCCACAUGUAAAUUUCAUUAUUUUCCAAAAUUAAAGUUAAGGUCGACAAAAUGUAUCGUGCUGCAUUACCCCCCAAGAAAAUUAAUACUAGCUGUCGGAUGGCCUAUGAAAACAAUAACCGUCAAAAUGUAUCGUGCUGUGUUUUUCCCCCAAGAAAAUGAGUGGCUGUAAAGAUUUGGCCAGAUUGCAUAUGAAAACAAUAACAAAUAGGCUAAUGAGACAUAAUUAUCAAAGCAAGAAAAUUACCUCAUAACAAAUAGCUAAUAACUAAAUGAGUUCAGCGCUAGAGCAGUGAACUUUAUGAAAUAGUACUGUGAUAAUUAGAGGAAAUACAAACCCCGAAAGUGGCUGGAAUCAAUAAGCAAUCUGGGGGCUUACGGCAAAGUUGGUGGAACAUCUUCACGUCACUUGGGUGAAUGGAAUCAAACAUAUUUCUGUUCGAAACGUCAGUCGGAGGCAGACGUCAGAACUUCCCAUCCGCUCUCCGCUCUGCUCCCCGCUCCUCCGCUCCGCAACGCAAGCACAAGCUGCCGUCCCGUCGGCUGCCUCCCCUCUUGCGAAGCUCCUCGCGUGCCCCCACCGCCGCGCAUAUGACGUCGCCGUGGCUCCCGAAUUUUCGGCCCGGAUACAGACCCUUGAGUCGCCUGGGGUUGGUGGUUCGUUUUUGAAUCGUUUGUAAACAAAUACGGGUUUUGUUCUGAAAAAUGGCAGAUCCUCCUAAAAAGUUUACUUUUGGUUUUAGCAAAAUUGUUAAAAAGUCAAAUUUGGUUGCACCCCCUCCAUCUGCAAAGGAAGAGCCGAAGAACGUUCAAUUUAUCGAAUGUCUGGAGGAGAACUCUAUCAAGCUGAAAGAUGGCGAAGAAGAAAAUCAAGUUAAAGCUCCGCUUGUCAUCCCCAUUAUUGGUCCACGGAAAAGCAGCACACUUUCGAAUGGAAGAAGUAUUGCUGAAAUCGCCGAAGAUUUCAGUGAUGUCGGCAAUGAAAAAUCAGAAGCAAACUCAGAAGCUGUGAAAGAAGAUGGCCCUGCAGAGUCAAUUGAAGCUAUGGCUGCUCGGGAACUCCUUCAAGAGGGUUUGAACAUAAUGAAAGAAAAAUCUGGACCUACAGUCGAUACCCUACCUCUUGCUGAUGAUAAAGAGGAGCUCCAAAGAGAGUCUACACAAGAGGAUUAUGAAAAUAUUCCAGUCACUCAGUUUGGCUUGGCUAUGCUGAGGGGUAUGGGGUGGAAGGAGGAUGAAGGCAUUGGAAAGAACAAGAAGCUAGUUCCGGUAACUGCCCCAGUGGUUCGUCCGAAAGGUAUGGGUUUGGGUGCAGACAAAAUGAUGCUUGCUGCGGCGGCCAAGAAAGCUGCUUCUGCUAAUUCAAAACAAGAUCAGGAAGAGUUGAAACUGGUUAAAGGAGCCUAUGUGAAAAUAGCAGCAGGAAUGAAUAAGGAUCAAUAUGGACAGGUUGAAGGCUUUACUGAUGGUUCUGGAAGAGUGAUGCUGAAAAUGGCCAUUGGUGGACGUGUUUUAUCUGUCAAUGAAGCAACAGUUUUCCCAGUCACUAAAGAUGAAUACAGCAAAUAUUCUAAAGUGUUAAAUGCGUCAAAGUUUGAUGAAUUUAAGAAGAAAGAGGAGACUGGUGAACCUGUGUCACAAGAAAAAUCCAGACGGCAAUCACCUAGCCCUACUAGAGUUUAUAAGAAGAAAGAAGACCGCAGAAAUUACUCUCCAAAAAGAGAACAGUCUCCCAUCCCCAAGAAGGACAAGCAUCGAUCAAGAAGUAACUCCGUGUCUCCUGACAGAUAUGAUAGAAAGAAAUCCAGCAAUAGAAACUUCAGAGACCGAUCAGAGUCUCCUGAUAGAUACGAUAAAAAGACAACGAGUAAUAAAGGCUACAGGGAUCAGUCUGAGUCUCCCGAAAGGUCUCAACCUAGAAGGAGAAGUCCAGAAGAUAGGCGGAAACACACAUCUUCGAGAAGAAGAGACACUUCUCCUUCACCUGAUAGGACUAAAAAGCAGCGAUCAAGAAAGAGCAGAAGCCGUAGUCGUUCUAGAUCAAAAGACCUAAAAUCUCAGCGAAGGAAGAAAUAUUCCGAUUCUGAUAGUGAUUCUAAAUCUCACUCUAAAAAGAAGAAGAAACAUAAAGAAAAGAGAUAUUCAUCACCUGAAGACAGCUCUCGGUCAAGAUCAAGGUCUCCAAAGAGUAAGAAGAAAAGUAAAAAGAGUAGGAGAAGUCGUUCAAGAACACCCAGCAAGAAGUACAGAUAACUUCUUCAUGCCUGGAUUAAUUUCUCCAUGAGUCCCACCACCAUGGCUUCCGCCAUUUUGAGGCAGAGGAUGGUGAUCAGCAGAUGGUUUACUGUUCUCAGUAACUAGGGAGACCUCAACACCUGAAAAUCAGCACAACUGCUUGGUCAUCCACAUUGUUCUGAUGAACUGAAGCUUCAUAAUUUGGUGGCCCCAGCCAGCUCAGCAUAACAGGAAGGAAGAAUAGACCAUGGAAACAUCCAAACACAACCACAGAUGUGAACAGCUGUAAUUUGACACGAAGUAUUAUUAGUUCUCAUGCUCGUUUUGAAAAUGCUGUAAAAACGAUAGUAUAAUGAAUGUCUUACUUUGAAGAAGGUAGUGAAUAUGUAGGAACUGCUGAAGCCUAGUAAGACAAACGCAAGGAAAGUACUGAAUCCCCCAUUGAAGACUGCAGGACCCAUAUGACGUAAUGCUCCCAUUGCUCUUUCUGGACAUAAAGAUGAGUUGCAUUAGUAUCCUUUCCUUUUUUCCAAUUUUUGAUGUCAUUGUCAUACUGGGGAAAAAAUAUAACUUACCAUUGCCGUCUCCAGGCAUGCGACUGAAUUCAUAUCCAAUGUGUGCUGCAUAAUCAACAGUCAGGCCUGUGCAAAGUAGCACCAUGAUUGAUGUAGAUAUUUCUAUUGUUAAACCAAAGAAAUACAUGGAUC
rnacentral:misc_RNA from 1 species